UCCGGUCGCAGGGGAGCCACUGACUAACGCACAUUGUGCUGCGGGACCCACUGUGCGUGUGACAGCGGCUACCAUGCAGCCGGCCCGCCACGGA
rnacentral:pre_miRNA from 1 species